rnacentral:rRNA from 1 species
UACGUAGGUGGCAAGCGUUGUCCGGAUUUACUGGGCGUAAAGAGCGCGCAGGCGGCUGAUUAAGUCGAAUGUGAAAGCCCCCGGCUCAACUGGGGAGGGUCAUUCGAUACUGAUCAACUUGAAGGCAGGAGAGAGAAGUGGAAUUCCCGGUGUAGUGGUGAAAUGCGUAGAUAUCGGGAGGAACACCAGUGGCGAAGGCGACCUUCUGGACGGAUACUGACGCUGAGGCGCGAAAGCUAGGGGAGCAAACGGG